GCUUACGGCCACACCUCCCUCAGCGCGCCAGAUCUGGUCUGAUCUCUGAGGCUAAGCAGGGUCGUGCCUGGUUAGUACUUGGAUGGGAGAACGCCUGGGGAAUAUCAGGUGCUGCAAGCU
ensembl:rRNA 5S_rRNA 5S ribosomal RNA